AGUGAACGCUGGCGGUAGGCCUAACACAUGCAAGUCGAACGGCAGCACAGUAAGAGCUUGCUCUUACGGGUGGCGAGUGGCGGACGGGUGAGGAAUACAUCGGAAUCUACUUUUUCGUGGGGGAUAACGUAGGGAAACUUACGCUAAUACCGCAUACGACCUACGGGUGAAAGCAGGGGAUCUUCGGACCUUGCGCGAUUGAAUGAGCCGAUGUCGGAUUAGCUAGUUGGCGGGGUAAAGGCCCACCCAGGCGACGAUCCGUAGCUGGUCUGAGAGGAUGAUCAGCCACACUGGAACUGAGACACGGUCCAGACGCCUACGGGAGGCAGCAGUGGGGAAUAGUGGAGAAAGGGCGCAAGCCUGAUCCAGCCAUACCGCGUGGGUAAAGAAGGCCGUCGGGUUGUAAAGCCCUUUUGUUGGGAAAGAAAAGCAGCAGGUUAAUACCCCGCUGUUCUGACGGUACCCAAAGAAUAAGCACCGGCUAACUUCGUG
rnacentral:rRNA from 1 species